rnacentral:rRNA from 1 species
UACGGAGGGUGCGAGCGUUUAAUCGGAAUUACUGGGCGUAAAGGGUGCGUAGGUUGUUAGAUAAGUUAUCUGUGAAAUUCCUGGGCUUAACCUGGGCAGGUCAGAUAAUACUGUAUAACUCGAGUAUGGGAGAGGGUAGUGGAAUUUCCGGUGGAGCGGUGAAAUGCGUAGAGAUCGGAAAGAACACCAACGGCGAAAGCACUCUGCUGGGCCGACACUGACACUGAGAGACGAAAGCUAGGGGAGCGAAUGGG